CAAUCGAACCCGGAGAUAGCUGGUUCUCCCCGAAAUAGCUUUAGGGCUAGCGUCGGAGGAAGGCAUCUGGAGGUAGAGCACUGAAUGUACGAUGGCGCCAUCCCGGUGUACUGAGUAUAAUCAAACUGCGAAUGCCAGAUGAUGAUAUCCGGCAGUCAGACUGUGGGUGAUAAGGUCCAUGGUCGAGAGGGAAACAGCCCAGACCGCCAGUUAAGGUCCCAAAAUGUAUGCUAAGUGGAAAAGGAUGUGGGGAUGCACAGACAACUAGGAGGUUGGCUCAGAAGCAGCCACCCUUCAAAGAGUGCGUAACAGCUCACUAGUCGAGUGACCCUGCGCCGAAAAUGUACCGGGGCUAAGCAUACUACCGAAACUGCGGAUUCGAGUGAUCGAGUGGUAGGGGAGCGUUGCAUGCACGAGGAAGCCGUACCGGAAGGAACGGUGGAGAGCAUGGAAGUGAGAAUGCCGGUGUGAGUAGCGAGAUGCAGGUGAGAAUCCUGCACACCGAAAGCCCAAGGAUUCCAGGGGAAGGUUCGUCCGCCCUGGGUAAGUCGGGACCUAACGCGAGGCCGAAAGGCGUAGUGGAUGGAAAACAGGCAGAUAUUCCUGUACCCGUAUGAGGAGCGAAGGAGUGACGGAGAAGGCUAGUGUGACCCUAUGAAUGGAUUUAGGGCGAAGCGGAGCAGCAGGUGCAUAGUGAAAUGCGUGCACAGGAUGCAGGACGUGACAGGUAAGCGAACGUUUCGACAAGUAGCGAAGCACAUGAGGCCAGCUUCCAAGAAAAGCUUCUAGCGAUAAUCUUCAUGCGGCCCGUACCAAAACCGACACAGGUGGGCAAGGAGAGUAUCCUAAGGUGAGCGAGAGAACUGUUGCCAAGGAACUCGGCAAAAAGACUCCGUAAGUUCGCGAGAAGGAGUGCUCUUGAGAGAGAGCCGCAGCGAAGAGGCCCAAGCGACUGUUUAACUAAAACACAGCUCUCUGCGAAGUCGCAAGACGAAGUAUAGGGGGUGACGCCUGCCCGGUGCCGGAAGGUUAAGGGGAGUUGUCAGCGAAAGCGAAGCAAUGAACCGAAGCCCCGGUGAACGGCGGCCGUAACUAUAACGGUCCUAAGGUAGCGAAAUUCCUUGUCAGGU
rnacentral:rRNA from 1 species